UACUACUACUUCGCUUAAUCCCCACCUCAAAUUCGAAACCCUAGCCCCGCUAAGCUUCCUCCGCCGCAGAUUCUCACAAACCCUCUCAGACCCUCACAGCCAUGUCGCACUUCGGACGAUCUGGACCGCCGGACAUCAGAGACACCUACUCGCUCCUUGUUCUCAACAUCACUUUCCGAACCACCGCCGACGAUCUGUUCCCGCUGUUUGAUAAGUACGGGAAGGUCGUCGACGUGUUUAUCCCCCGAGACCGGAGGACCGGCGAUUCGCGCGGCUUCGCUUUUGUGCGGUAUAAGUAUCAGGAUGAGGCGGCCAAGGCCGUGGAUAAGCUCGACGGGAGAGUUGUGGAUGGGAGAGAGAUUAUGGUUCAGUUUGCUAAGUAUGGUCCAAAUGCUGAGAGGAUCUCCAGUCACAAGGGAAAGAUAAGUGAAUCUUCCUCCAAGUUGAAAAGCAGCAGGUCAAGAAGCCGUAGCCCUCGUCCAAGGUAUCGAGAUGAAUAUAAGGAUAGGGAUUACAAGAGGAGAAGUCGCAGUCGAAGUAGGGACAGAUAUGACCGUGACAGGCACCAUAGGAGUGAAAGAGAGCAUCGCUACAGAAGCAGGAGCCGCAGUGCAAGUCCUGAUAAUCGUAAAAGGAGCAAAUAUGAUGACGAGCGGCGUAGUCGGAGCCGGUCCUAUGGAAGUGUCUCACCUGCUCGGCCUAGCUCUAAAUCUCGAAGGAGCCUCUCUCCUCGUAGGACACCUCCAAGGAGUGAGAGUCCUGAUGCACGCCAUCGUAAUGACCGCUCUCCUACCCCCAAAGAUGUCUCACCACAGGCUCGGCGUGAAGAUUCUCUAAGUCCUCGUAAAUCUGAUGCUGAUGAAUGAUGGGUUUGCUUAUCAUGUGACCUGGGGUUCUAUCCAUGUCUUGAGACCUUCUGUUUACAUCCUUGGAAAGUUGAGUUUCAUGUACGAUCAACAUGUUGAAUGUUUGCAUUUGACUGCCCUGCAGUUUUGUUGAAGGUUAAAACAUUUCUUUGUUGGACUAUGAUGUUCGUGAACAUUGCUGAUUGAAGAGAUGCUGUACUAGCUAGCUGUUGGUGCUAUUUUAACUACGGAAAUGGUAGAUGUCAAUGUGUCAUGUUGAUGCUGAAUGAAGUCGGGUCUUACCUGUUUUGCUUUGAUGAAACUCUGGUUGGUGAUGUUUGGGAGGAGUGAACAUUGCUGGUGGUGCUAUUUUGCCACAGAUAUGGUAGAUGUCAAUUCAUGUUCAUGCUGAUUGCAGUCUGGUCUUAGCUGUUUUGCUUUGAUGAAACUCUUUCGUUUGAUCCUGCAAAGGAACUCUCGAUGCUGUGGUUGCCUAAACUUGGUCGGAAUUCAGGUGCCAUUGCAUGUAGCUGAUGCAGUUUAUAUGAAAAUGUCAUUUUUGUUUUAUUUUUGGAAAAGAGGGGUGGGUUUUAGGGGAGUGGGCCUAACUCUGGCUGGCUGCCCCUGCAAUUAUAGGUUUGGUCUAUAAUUGCGAGUCAUGCCAUGAAUGGGGCAGGAUUAUAUACAUAGAAAAAUACUGCACAAUUUUUCAAAUGCACGCUGCAAAAUGAAGUGUUAUGCUGUGUGAAAGUUAUUCUAAUACCGCAAGGUAACCAUGUAUAAUAAUUUAUUGAAUA